rnacentral:rRNA from 1 species
UACGGGGGGAGCAAGCGUUGUUCGGAUUUACUGGGCGUAAAGGGCGCGUAGGCGGCCAGCACAAGUCAGUUGUGAAAUCUCCGAGCUUAACUCGGAAAGGUCAACUGAUACUGUGCGGCUAGAGUGCAGAAGGGGCAACUGGAAUUCUUGGUGUAGCGGUGAAAUGCGUAGAUAUCAAGAGGAACACCUGCGGCGAAGGCGGGUUGCUGGGCUGACACUGACGCUGAGGAGCGAAAGCCAGGGGAGCAAACGGG